rnacentral:misc_RNA from 1 species
AUUUAUUUACCAAUCCUUCAUUUUGUUUAUUUUACUGAGACAAGAGUUUUGUAAAGUUUUGGAAAUUUCUCAUCAUACAAGUUUCAUAAGCACAAACCAAAAAGAUCACAGUUUCUACUUGAUGGCAUCACAGGCUUAAGGUUAAGUAAAUUUCCCAGCAUCUUAUAUAUAUAUGUAUACUAUUUCAGCAGUAGAAGCCUUCCUGUAAUCAUCUACCUCUCUAUUGAACACUGAUGGAAAGGAAGAAGAAUAAAGGAUUGUCAUCCUCUUCAAAGUUCUAGCAUGCUUGAGCAAGUACUUUA